rnacentral:rRNA from 1 species
AGUGAAGCGGCAAUAGCUCAAAUUUGAAAUCUGGUCUCCUUUGGGGGCCCGAGUUGUAAUUUGCAGAGGGCGCUUUGGCGUUGACAGCGGUCUAAGUUCCUUGGAACAGGACGUCACAGAGGGUGAGAAUCCCGUACGUGGUCGCCUGUCUUCGCCGUGUAAAGCCCCUUCGACGAGUCGAGUUGUUUGGGAAUGCAGCUCUAAAUGGGAGGUAAAUUUCUUCUAAAGCUAAAUACUGGCCAGAGACCGAUAGCGCACAAGUAGAGUGAUCGAAAGAUGAAAAGCACUUUGGAAAGAGAGUCAAACAGCACGUGAAAUUGUUGAAAGGGAAGCGCUUGCAGCCAGACGUGCCCGUGGUGGUUCUCCUCCGCGGGCAGGCCAGCAUCAGUUCGGGCGGUCGGAUAAAGGCCUCUGUCACGUAUCUACCUUCGGGUUGACCUUAUAGGGGAGGCGUAAUGCGAUCAGCUCGGACUGAGGUCCGCGCAUCUGCUAGGAUGCUGGCGUAAUGGCUGUAAGCGGCCCGUCUUGAAACACGGACCAAGGAGUCUAACAUCUAUGCGAGUGUUUGGGUGUCAAGCCCGGGCGCGCAAUGAAAGUGAACGGAGGUGGGAACCCUUUCUUGGGGUGCACCAUCGACCGAUCCUGAAGUCUUCGGAUGGAUUUGAGUAAGAGCAUAGCUGUUGGGACCCGAAAGAUGGUGAACUAUGCUUGAAUAGGGUGAAGCCAGAGGAAACUCUGGUGGAGGCUCGCAGCGGUUCUGACGUGCAAAUCGAUCGUCAAAUUUGGGCAUAGGGGCGAAAGACUAAUCGAACUAUCUAGUA